rnacentral:rRNA from 1 species
GACGAACGCUGGCGGCGUGCUUAACACAUGCAAGUCGAACGGAAAGGCCCUGCUUUUGUGGGGUGCUCGAGUGGCGAACGGGUGAGUAACACGUGAGUAACCUGCCCUUGACUUUGGGAUAACUUCAGGAAACUGGGGCUCAUAUCGGAUAGGAGCCCCUGCUGCAUGGUGGGGGUUGGAAAGUUUCGGCGGUUGGGGAUGGACUCGCGGGUUAUCAGCUUGUUUGUGGGGUAGUGGCUUACGAAGGCUGUGACGGGUAGCCGGCCUGAGAGGGUGACCGGCGACAUUGGGACUGAGAUACGGCGCAGACUGCUACGGGAGGCAGUAGUGGGGAAUAUUGCAGAAUGGGCGGAAGCCUGAUACAGCAACGCCGGGAGCGGGAUGACGGGCUUCGGGUGGUAAACCGCUUUGGCCUGAGACGAAGAGUGAGUGACGGUAAUGGGUAAAGAAGCACCGGCUAACUACGUG